AUUGAACGCUAACGGCAUGCUUGACACAUGCAAGUCGAACGGCAGCACGGUAGUAGCAAUACUAUGGGUGGCGAGUGGCGGACGGGUGAGUAAUACAUAGGAAUCUGCCUUGUAGUGGGGGAUAACCCGGGGAAACUCGGGCUAAUACCGCAUAAUCUUUACGAAGCAAAGUGGGGGACCUUCGGGCCCUACGCUAUAAGAUGAGCCUAUGUCGGAUUAGCUAGUUGGUGGGGUAAAGGCCUACCAAGGCAACGAUCCGUAGCUGGUCUGAGAGGAUGAUCAGCCACACUGGGACUGAGACACGGCCCAGACUCCUACGGGAGGCAGCAGUGGGGAAUAUUGGACAAUGGGCGAAAGCCUGAUCCAGCAAUGCCGUGUGUGUGAAGAAGGCCUUCGGGUUGUAAAGCACUUUUAGUGGGGAAGAAAAGUUCAUGGCUAAUAUCCAUGAAUGCUGACGUUACCCACAGAAAAAGCACUGGCUAACUCUGUGCCAGCCGCCGCGGUAAAAC
rnacentral:rRNA from 1 species